rnacentral:rRNA from 1 species
UAUUGGUCAAUGGGCGCGAGCCUGAACCAGCCAAGUAGCGUGAGGGAUGACGGCCCUACGGGNUGUAAACCUCUUUUGUCGGGGANNCCNNNCNGCCACGUGUUGCGGAGUCGAGAGUACCCGAAGAAAANNNANCNGCUAACUACGUGCCAGCAGACGCGGUAAUACGGAGGAUGCGAGCGUUAUCCGGAUUUAUUGGGUUUAAAGGGUGCGUAGGCGGACUGUCAAGUAAGCGGUAAAAUACGGGGGCUCAACCUCCGCCCGCCGUUGAAACUGACGGUCUUGAGUGGGCGAGAAGUAUGCGGAAUGCGUGGUGUAGCGGUGAAAUGCAUAGAUAUCACGCAGAACUCCGAUUGCGAAGGCAGCAUACCGGCGCCCGACUGACGAUGAAGCACGAAAGCGUGGGUAUCG